rnacentral:rRNA from 1 species
AAUCUUCCACUAUUGGCGAAAGCCUGAUGGAGCAACGCCGCGCGAGUGAAGAAGGACCUCGUUUCGUAUUAUUCUGUUGUAAGGGAAAAACAAGUACAGCAGUAACUGGCUGUACCUUGACGGUACCUUAUCAGAAAGCCCCGGCUAACUACGUGCCAGCAGCCGCGGUAAUACGUAGGUGGCAAGCGUUGCCCGGAAUUAUUGGGCGUAAAGCGCGCGGAGGCGGUCCUUUAAGUCAGGUGUGAAAGCCCACGGCUCAACCGUAGAAGGUCAUUGGAAACUGGGGGACUUGAGUGAAGAAGAGGAAAGUGGAAUACCUAGUGUAGCGGUGAAAUGCGUAGAGAUUUGGAGGAACACCAGUGGCGAAGGCGACUUUCUGGUAUGUAACUGACGCUGAGGCGCGAAAGCGUAGGGAGCAAACAGG